CAGGCCGAGCAAGUCCCUCUUGCAGCCACCAACCAAGCACCUCGCCUUCUCGCAGCUCUCCGCCGGCCGGCCGCGCUUCCCCUCCCCUCCCUCACCUCAGGCAGCUCUCGAAUCCUCCCCCAUGAAACACCCAACCCUCUCUCCCUCCCACGAGCCCUCUCACUCUCCAUCUCUCUCCCAAGAGAUCCCUCUCUGCAGCCACAAACAACGGUCAAUUCUAUCCAGGUAUAGUGUCCAUGGCCGGCAUGCAGCACAUCCCCGAGCUCGCCUCCCUCUGUUGUGCCGUCUACUCCGGCCAGAUCCGUCACUCCCUGUCUCCAUAGCUUGUGCCCAAACCCUCCCCAUGGCUAGGGUUUUCGGCACGGCGUCGCCUCCGUCACCGGCGCGGCUCCAAUGUUGCUAGUGGAAUAGCAGAGGAUGAUGAGGAUGAAGACGAGCUCACGCCCUAGCCCGACGAGCUGUAGACCACCAUAAUUUCCACACAAGUCUAGACGUCACUGCACUGGUGUUUGUCGAUGGAGUUUGCUGGGGACGAUCUCGUCGAGGACGUCGAGGAAGCAGCUGUCGCUGGACUCGAUGUCGUCAGGGACGUCGAGGAAGCAGCGGUCAUCAGAGACGAUGUCAUCGAGGACGUCGAGCAAAGAGCGGUCACGCGGUGCUGCCCAUAAAACUCUAGACUGCCUUCGUGCAGGGUCGAAGGAUGUGGCCGGAGUCACGGAGACACCGCUCGCUGGACUAUCAUUGCAUGACGGACAGCACCGCCGGCUUCUUUCAAAAGGCGGCUCAGCACUAGUGGUAUAUGUGGAAGAAGAUGGAGAUGUGUACAUGAUGCUCACUCCCCUUUAUAGGUAUUCUUCAGGACACCUUCCGCGAUGCUCACUGCCCAUUAUGAUAAUUUCCUUUUAGUCAUGUAUACUUCUCACUGCCCAUUAUGAUAAUUUCUUUUUAGUCAUGUAUACUUCUCACUACCCAUUAUGUUAAUCCAUAUAUAAUAUGUGUUGAUCGUUGUA